UGGUUGGCCCUGCAUCCGCUCUCGUUGGCAGUUGCCCUGUGCCGGGAAGUGAAGCAGUACACCUCUCCUACCUCAUGCAUGAAAACUCCUUGUAGAUUGAGUGAAAACAAUAAUACAACCAUGGGAGUUUUUUCCUUUCUAAAUAAUAAAAAAAUUAUUUUUAAAAAUAGAAAAUAAUAUUUACAAUAUAAUGUAAAGAAAGAAGAACGAACAAAAGGAAACAAGAACGGACAACAAGAAACCCCAUGAAGGCUGGAAGC
rnacentral:lncRNA from 1 species